rnacentral:rRNA from 1 species
UACGAAGGGUGCAAGCGUUACUCGGAAUUAUUGGGCGUAAAGAGCUCGUAGGCGGUCUGUCGCGUCUGCUGUGAAAAUCCAGGGCUCAACCCUGGACCUGCAGUGGGUACGGGCAGACUAGAGUGCGGUAGGGGAGAUCGGAAUUCCUGGUGUAGCGGUGAAAUGCGCAGAUAUCAGGAGGAACACCGGUGGCGAAGGCGGAUCUCUGGGCCGUAACUGACGCUGAGGAGCGAAAGCAUGGGGAGCGAACAGG